rnacentral:rRNA from 1 species
UACGGAGGGUGCAAGCGUUAUCCGGAUUUACUGGGUUUAAAGGGUGUGUAGGCGGAUUUUUAAGUCAGAGGUGAAAUCUCCAGGCUCAACCUGGAAACUGCCCCUGAUACUAUUAGUCUUGAAUAUUGAUGAGGUGGGCGGAACGGGUCAUGUAGCGGUGAAAUGCUUAGAGAUGUGGAGGAACACCGAUGGCGAAGGCAGCCCCCUGGGUCAAGAUUGACGCUCAUGCACGAAAGCGUGGGGAGCAAACAGG